UACAGAGGUCCCAAGCGUUGUUCGGAUUCACUGGGCGUAAAGGGUGCGUAGGUGGCGGGGUAAGUCUGAUGUGAAAUCUCCGAGCUCAACUCGGAAAUGGCAUUGGAUACUAUUCUGCUAGAGGGUUGGAGGGGAGACUGGAAUUCUCGGUGUAGCAGUGAAAUGCGUAGAUAUCGAGAGGAACACCAGUGGCGAAAGCGAGUCUCUGGACAACUCCUGACACUGAGGCACGAAAGCUAGGGGAGCAAACAGG
rnacentral:rRNA from 1 species